rnacentral:SRP_RNA from 1 species
CGCUCAACUCGGUUUGGAUGCAUCAUGCACAACCGUGCAGCCCAUCAUGCAGCUGACGACGAGCCGUGUGCUCGUCACGUCCUGGGUCGACGGGGAGCGCCUCGAGUCCGUCGCCCGGC